rnacentral:rRNA from 1 species
AAUGUCCUACGGGAGGCAGCAGUGGGGAAUAUUGCACAAUGGGCGCAAGCCUGAACGAGCGAUGCCGCGUGAGUGAAGAAGGCCUUCGGGUCGUAAAGCUCUGUUGCGGGGGAAAAAAGGCAGCAUCAGGAAAUGGGUGCUGACUGAUGGUGCCCCGCCAGAAAGUCACGGCUAACUACGUGCCAGCAGCCGCGGUAAUACGUAGGUGGCGAGCGUUAUCCGGAAUGAUUGGGCGUAAAGGGUGCGCAGGCGGUCCUGCAAGUCUGGAGUGAAACGCAUGAGCUCAACUCAUGCAUGGCUUUGGA